rnacentral:rRNA from 1 species
AUACGGAGGGUGCAAGCGUUAUUCGGAAUCACUGGGCAUAAAGAGCACGUAGGCGGGUUGGCAAGUCAGAUGUGAAAUCCUACAGCUUAACUGUAGAACUGCAUUUGAAACUGCUAACCUAGAGUAUGGGAGGGGGAGAUGGAAUUAGUGGUGUAGGGGUAAAAUCCGUAGAUAUCACUAGGAAUACCGAAAGCGAAGGCGAUCUCCUGGAACAUAACUGACGCUCAGGCGUGAAAGCGUGGGGAGCAAACAGGAUUAGAAACCCUGGUAGUCC